rnacentral:rRNA from 1 species
CGAUUAGCUAGUUGGCGGGGCAACGGCCCACCAAGGCGACGAUCGGUAGCCGGCCUGAGAGGGUGAUCGGCCACAUUGGGACUGAGAUACGGCCCAGACUCCUACGGGAGGCAGCAGUAGGGAAUAUUGCACAAUGGGGGAAACCCUGAUGCAGCAACGCCACGUGUGGGAAGAAGCAUUUCGGUGUGUAAACCACUGUCGUGAGGGAAUAAGGCUAUUUUUCGGAGUAGUUGAAUGUACCUCGAGAGGAAGCACCGGCAAACUUCGUGCCAGCAGCCGCGGUAAUACGAGGGGUGCAAGCGUUGUUCGGAAUCACUGGGCGUAAAGGGAGCGCAGGCGGAAGCUCAAGCGGAUUGUACAAUACCGGGGCCCAACCCCGGACCUGCAGUCCGAACUGGGUUUCUUGGAU